rnacentral:rRNA from 1 species
UACGGGGGGGGGCAAGCGUUGUUCGGAAUUACUGGGCGUAAAGGGCUCGUAGGCGGCCAACUAAGUCAGACGUGAAAUCCCUCGGCUUAACCGGGGAACUGCGUCUGAUACUGGAUGGCUUGAGUUUGGGAGAGGGAUGCGGAAUUCCAGGUGUAGCGGUGAAAUGCGUAGAUAUCGGGGAGGAACACCAGUGGCGAAGGCGCUACCUGGCCUGUUCUUGACGCUGAGGCGCGAAAGCUAGGGGAGCAAACGGG